GACCGCGGCAACCUGAUCAGCGUCGAAAUCAACAGACAAAAGUCGUCAUGUUGAAAUUUCUGGCUACAUUUGCCCUUGGUCUUUAUGCUGGAAUAUACAUUGACCAGAAUUAUAAGGUGCCCAAUAUGUCUGAUCCCAACAGCAUUUAUGAAGAAGUGAAGAAGAUACUGGAGAAAUUUGAGAAAGGUGGAAAGAGUGACAAGUAGAUAAAGAUGACAUGGUUUAUCUUGUUACCUCCAUAUGUGCAUGUGAGAUAAACAUUCCCUGAUCAGGACUGAGAUGUACGUCUGUGUGUUGUUUGAAACGUGAUGAGAUUAUAAGUUCAUAACUUCAUAGUAUGAGGUUAUACAUGUACAUCAAGUAUGGACAUAUUACACAUAUGCUCCAUAUAACUCUAUUAUCCGCCAUCAUCAUCAUAUAACAAAAAAAAAUUUUAUACAUUAAAACAUGUUAUUUGUGUUAGGAAUCUCACUAACAGUAAUAUUCAAGUACAUGUACUUUAAAAUAUGAAAUGCUUGUAUGUACAUGUACUUUCUUUUGUGGUUCGGAGAACUUCCAAACAAUAAUAUAAUAAUAAUACAGACAAUAUUCAUUGUAUUUAUAUUCGUGUUUACAAAGCAACCACAAAAACAAUGAAAGUUUAUACACAUCAUAAGUUUCAUGUUAUACAGUACGAGUGGUUUGCUUAUAUACUGCAUAUGAGUGUGUAUCUAGGAAGGUGUAGUUUACCAUUCCCAAGAGAAAAGAACAUAGUGGUAUUUUAGCUUAACAGAUGGAAGUUGUGGAAGUAUUUAUCUUAAUGUUAUUUCUUAUUUUUUGUCUGCUGUAAGUGUUACUACGGAAAUAGUUAUGAAAUAUUGAGAAAGAAUAAAUUUAAAUUGAUCUUGAUCCAAUUUGAACUUGGAAGAUAAUGCAUGCUAUAUGCAGUAGUUUUUGUGAAUCGUUUGGUAUAGUUGGAUGGUAUUGUACAUCUACAAUUAUAUAUUAGUGUAUGCAAUAAAACCUCUUAGACAAUAAUCAUAAUAUUCAUAAUUUAACUUUCAGAUUGGAUUCUAAACUUGCUCACAUGGACUUCCUUAGCUCUGUAUAAAUGUACAUGGUUAUGUUUUCGUUAAUAUCCAUAAAUAUUGAUUUAAUACUGUUUAUAUAUCAGAUAGAAAUAUGUAACAUCUGUCAUCACCAUAAUGUAACAGGAAAAUUGGUUUUUUUUUAGUUGAACUUUAAUUGUUAUCUCGAAGUCGGUGGGGUCAUGGAAAACUUCCCAGUAUUUGUAUAUUUUUGCUAUCAGAACUGAAUUUUUACCUCCAGUUAAGCAGGGUCUUUGAGUUAUCAGGGUCUGAGAUAAUGAGGUUUGACUGCAUGUAUAAUUAUUGGAUUCAUCCCGUAAUAAAAAUAUUUGUCCAUUACAGUAGAAUUCCAACACAUGCUAUUUGCCAGCAAUUAACCCUUCCCAACUUUGAUAAAGAUUAUAGGUUUAAAUGUUGGAGCUAAAUUUUUGCAAGAUAAAUAGUGACAAGAAUCAUGGUUUGCCCCUCCUUCAAUGGAAAUGGUACAUCUGACUUAAUAAACUCACUGACAUGUUUAAACAUGGCUCAUUGUCUACCAAAAUUGAAAGAGUGAACAAGUAACGAGUUUUUAUGAAUUAUUCAUCAGACAGAGAGAACAAGUACCUAGUUUUUAUGAAUUAUUCAUCAGUGUUAUAUAUGUUCCCGAUUGAUUUCAUAAUCUUCGUAUAAUAUUACGAACAGUCAUUGUAUAAAGUGUUUAAGGUGUGUGAAUUUGUAUCGUUUUGUGUAUGAGAUUAUCCCAAACAGACAGAUGGUUAUGAUAAAGUAAUGAUUUGUGUUGUGACUAUCAGUUGUAAUAUUUGUAGUACUGGCUCAAUCAGUCGAUCAUUAAACGUAGUGGCAGCUGUUGCUACAACUAAAUGUAAAUAAAUAUACAAGAACAUUAA